CCCGCACGCCCCACACGCCCCGCAUGCCCCACACCGAGGUCGCGGCGGCGCGCGAGGUAACGACACAGACCGGCACGGCCUGUGCGAGGACCACGAGUUCCAGUGCGACAACCGGGAGUGUAUUCGAAUGGAGUUCCGCUGUGACUCUCGUGUGGACUGUCUGGACGGGUCGGACGAGGCGGAGUGCGCGGCCACGCCCGGCCCGCCCCCGCCCCCG